CGGUAAACAAGGCCUGAAGACCAACGGCCAACCAAGAUUGCUGUUUCUAGCCAAGCUGUACUGUGAAGAGAUGGGGCCAUUCCAGGCACGCAUAAACUAAGGCAACUCAUGACCACCAAGACAGCGCAACAGAAGCAAUACAGCACUCGGAGGAAGAGGAAAGACAGACUCAACCCCAAAGGCACAGUACAGUUUCCAUAGUAAAUGAAAAGAGUGAACUCGAUCCAGGAAGGAACCCUCAUGUGCUGCAGAGUAAGUCAACCAACUGUUGAUAUGUACAAGGGAGGAAUAAAAAACAGCUCAAUCAACCAGAUACUCGACCAACAAAAUUACAUCAGAGUGAAAUAGGAUGUUUGCAGAACAAACUAGAGAAAUUCCAGCGUCCGUGAUGGAGGGAUCGAUGCUAUCUGGAGAGCCAGAGGGUCUGGGACAGCAGACAGUAUGAGAACCAUAGGUCACAGCCUCAAGAAGUCCUCAGUGGACUUUCAGGAGCAGAGGGGAGACCGAGCACGACAGGCAGCGACACUGGCAGAGGAGAAGGGGGUUGUCAGUUUGGUGACUCUGGACCCUCCCUGGACUCAAAGCAAGUAUCAUAGGGCUACAUUGAAAGCUGGCCUGAAAAAGAGUCAAUGUAGACAGUAGGGAAGAAACUGAGUCUGAAGCAUCGAGUCAAUGGAAGAGUGACUUGAGCCACAGCCCGCUGAGGUACACAGACAUGCGCUCUAAACACGUGCCCACUGUUGGGAAGGAAUACCCAGGAGCAUGAGCCAUGUUUGCAGCCAGAGCCAGUGAAAGGUUACCGCCAGGCAGAAGGGACGACAGCUUCUUCCCGUGAGCUGCCAAAGAUUGCCCAGGGCUGCGACUAGCAUCAGUAGCCCAGCAAAGGAAUAAAGAGAAAGAGAAAACCAGUACCCGGGUGUAGAGCACGUUCAGACUCCGCCCUCCACGCAGGCCAACUAAGACCUCCCUAUCUGAUGCUCGAUAUCAUCAGAGACAGACACAGAAGAAGCUUUUAACAGAUGCUUAUUGGAAGAGAGAAAAAAAUGAAGAAACAAAAGUUCUGUCACGUUUUUCAAGCAUGAUGCCGCGUGUAAUCCCAGCUUCCAUUUCUCUCUUCUUGGAUGUGGAUAACAAGAGCCUCAGCUGGUAACAAAGAAAAACCCAGGAACAGCUGAACUGCCAGAGGCUGACCCCACCAACCCCCACCACGGUCAUUCCCUGAACCAAGUCUGAGAUGCUGGCGACCCAGUGGCUGACACUUGUCCUCGGGGUUUCAGAAACAGUUUCACAACAUGCUACCUUACCCUAGGAAGGAAGCAGCAUUCAUUGCUUUCAUUCCUUCGUGGGGCUCUUAGCUGCUCUUUUCUUUGAUCAGCUGGUACAGGAAAUAGUGUACGGUUUCUUAGGCACAGCCAACUCUCUCUCGCCACACCCAGACAAUGUUCUAAAGUUUUUAUUGGAUCUGAGUGUGCCAACCUUGUGCUGUGGAAUUAAGCGAGGGUUGCUAAAUAUCAUUCAUCUUGCAACAUCAGAUGUCAUUCUCUGUGUAUGUGUCCUGUCUCCCUAGACUAUGAGCAGGGGAGACAGGGUCUCUGUGUUAAUGACGACAGUGACAUCUUCAGAAAUAAUAAUGGAUAAGUUAAUCUUAGCUGCUCCUAACAUAUGCU
rnacentral:lncRNA from 1 species